rnacentral:tRNA from 1 species
GCCCCUGUAGCUCAGCUGGAUAGAGCAACUGACUUCUAAUCAGUAGGUCUCAGGUUCGAAUCCUGACAGGGGUACAA